UACGGAGGGUGCAAGCGUUAAUCGGAAUCACUGGGCUUAAAGCGUGCGUAGGCGGCCCUGUAAGUUAGGUGUGAAAUCCCACAGCUCAACUGUGGAACUGCGCUUAAAACUAUAGGGCUAGAGGGAUAUAGAGGUGAGCAGAACAGAUGGUGGAGCGGUGAAAUGCGUUGAUAUCAUCUGGAAUACCGGAGGCGAAGGCGGCUCACUGGGUAUCUUCUGACGCUGAGGUACGAAAGCUAGGGGAGCGAACGGG
rnacentral:rRNA from 1 species